rnacentral:sRNA from 1 species
CUCACGCAUCCCAUUCGGGAGCAAGACCCUGCGGAUUGACGAUCCGCCCGUUCGGGCGGGCAAGCUCGCGGACUG